GACGAACGCUGGCGGCGUGCCUAACACAUGCAAGUCGAACGGAACUGUUUUGAAAGAUUUCUUCGGAAUGAAUUUGAUUUAGUUUAGUGGCGGACGGGUGAGUAACGCGUGAGUAACCUGCCUUCAAGAGGGGGAUAACAUUCUGAAAAUAAUGCUAAUACCGCAUGACAUAUCGGAACCACAUGGUUCUGAUAUCAAAGAUUUUAUCGCUUGAAGAUGGACUCGCGUCCGAUUAGUUAGUUGGUGAGGUAACGGCUCACCAAGACCGCGAUCGGUAGCCGGACUGAGAGGUUGAACGGCCACAUUGGGACUGAGACACGGCCCAGACUCCUACGGGAGGCAGCAGUGGGGGAUAUUGCGCAAUGGGGGCAACCCUGACGCAGCAACGCCGCGUGAAGGAUGAAGGUUUUCGGAUUGUAAACUUCUUUUAUUAAGGACGAAAAUUGACGGUACUUAAUGAAUAAGCUCCGGCUAACUACGUGCCAGCAGCCGCGGUAAUACGUAGGGAGCAAGCGUUGUCCGGAUUUACUGGGUGUAAAGGGUGCGUAGGCGGCUUUGCAAGUCAGAUGUGAAAUCUAUGGGCUCAACCCAUAAACUGCAUUUGAAACUGUAGAGCUUGAGUGAAGUAGAGGCAGGCGGAAUUCCCCGUGUAGCGGUGAAAUGCGUAGAGAUGGGGAGGAACACCAGUGGCGAAGGCGGCCUGCUGGGCUUUAACUGACGCUGAGGCACGAAAGCGUGGGUAGCAAACAGGAUUAGAUACCCUGGUAGUCCACGCUGUAAACGAU
rnacentral:rRNA from 1 species